rnacentral:lncRNA from 1 species
CGCGGGUACUGUUAGGACUGGGUCCCUGCACUCCAGGUCUUCAGAGAUGUUGUGCUUAAUAUUUCUGGGCACCUGCUAUGUGUUUUAUCUACAUUACUUGAUUUAUUUAUUAGAAUAUCUUGAUGGUAUUCACAUUCGUGGAACACUGAGGCUCACAGACGAUAAAUAACUUGCUAAAGUCACACACCUUAAGUUUCAGAGUCUUGUUUCAGCCUAGAUCUCUGACUCAAAACUUUGGUUACUUUCUCCUCAAGGGGGAGGCAGACGUGUCGCAGAUAAACAUCCAAUAACAAGACUGGAGAGGAAAAUGGGAAGAACAUAUAUUCUCUCUCUUCACAGCCAGCUCCUCUCUGCUCCUCUCCUCGCUUCUGUGAACAAUUCCCUCAGCCUGUGUAUGAAUCAUGAUCACCAUUCACUAUAGAACCCUGACCUGUGUCCGGGUUGCCAGACAUAAUACAGGAUGCCUGAUGAAAUUUCAGAUCAAUGAAUAGUUUUUUAGUAUACAUACAUACCCAAUGUUGCAUGAAAUAUAAUGAUACUAAAGAAUUAUUCGUGUUUAAAAUUCAAAUUUCACUGUGGGCACUGCAUUUUUUCCCAAUUUUCAAACUG